rnacentral:tRNA from 1 species
GCGCCCGUAGCUCAGAUGGAUAGAGUACUGCCCUCCGAAGGCAGGGGUCGGACGUUCGAGUCGUCUCGGGCGUGCCA